GACGAACGCUGGCGGCGUGCUUAACACAUGCAAGUCGAGCGAGAAAGCACCUUCGGGUGUGAGUACAGCGGCGAACGGGUGAGUAACACGUGGGCAACCUGCCCCAGAGACUGGGAUAACGUCCCGAAAGGGACGCUAAUACCGGAUGUUGCGCGAUCUGCCAAGUAGGUCGCGCCAAAUGGUAGCUUCGGCUUCUGCUCUGGGAUGGGCCCGCGCCGGAUUAGCUUGUUGGUGAGGUAACGGCUCACCAAGGCGACGAUCCAUAGCUGGUCUGAGAGGACGAUCAGCCACACUGGGACUGAGACACGGCCCAGACUCCUACGGGAGGCAGCAGUGGGGAAUCUUGCGCAAUGGGCGAAAGCCUGACGCAGCAACGCCGCGUGAGCGAAGACGGCCU
rnacentral:rRNA from 1 species